UUUUUCUGUAACUCUAUUAGAUGAUAGGUGUUAACUAAAUUUAUUGUGGUAAUCACUUCACAAUAUAUGCAAGUCAAAACAGUAUGCUGCACAUCUUAAACAUAUACAGUGCCAUCAAUUAUAUCUCAAUAAAACUGAAAAAAGAGAGAGAGCGAGCGAGCUUACUUCAAACACAACAUAAAUUGACUAAAAGCCACAAGGGGGUCAAAAGAUGCUUGCAUUUAUUAAAGACUUAAAAUACCGUUAGCAUUCAUUAAGGACCCAUAAUAUUGCAGCCUUUGGAAAGUUAACCAUGAAUAAAAUAUACCAGCAGUGCCUUUAAGAUUCUCACAGCUAAGUGCAAUAGUAACAUGAACAUCCAUAAUUAUGGUGUAACAAGAUAUUCUGUAACAGAGCUCUGUCCCUGAGUUCUGGAAGUUCAAAGCAGUUCAAAGCGAUUUCAUCUGGGCAUUCAUGAAAGUUUAACAGGAUUCAUGAAGCAAGAGCUAGAUACCCGGCAGAAAGGUCAUUAUGGAGAAAGAUAUUCCAGGCAGAGAGUAUCCAGCUCAUGUAUAUACGUUUAGUUUAUGUAUACAGCACAUGUAUAUAUGUGUGUGGCUCAUGUAAGAAACUGAUAAUGUUUUCAUCAAAAAUACCCCCAAAAAGUGUCUAAGGGGAGGUGAUGGGUGCCACAGCUGGAAACCUUAUGGACUUGCUUAAGAAGAAACUUGCUAAAGAGUUUGGGAUUUAUCCAGCAGAUAAUUAUGACCAUAAAAGAGUUUAUAAAGAGGACAUGAUAUAAUUAAUGUGCAUUUUAGGGGAAAAAAAAAGAGUCCAUUGGUAGUGUAAAAUGGCUUUCCUGCUGUUUUCAGUAAAAGGGCAAUGUUAGUGAAAAACUCAGCAGAAGAUUCCUUUAUGAUACACGAUGUUACCACAGCAAUCCUGAGAUGUCUUCCAAGAGUUUCCCAUGGACUCAAAUCCCUAGCGAUAAAGUAACACAAAAUGUGUUCAACUUUAAGGUAAAUACUUGGAUCUGCUUUGUAGGAAAGAAUAUUGCAGGAACAUGAAAGGUACCCAUACACAUGACUUUCUAAGGGAAAAAAAAAAAGACUUUUCAGAUUUAUUUUACUGUGCAUGUAUAAGUUCUUUUAAUUUUUAAAAUAAUAGAAUGGGAUGACGUAAGUACAGUCAUAAAUGGUGACAAGGGGAUGAGCCAAAUCAUUGGAUUUUAGGACAGAAAUUUGUGGAUGGGAAUAAGAGAAAUAAAAGGAAAGAUUCCCAUACAGAGAAGGAAAGAUUUAAGAAAGGAAGAGAAGAAUUCAUUUGAAUAAGAUGAGAUAAGAAUGAUGAAACAGGAGAAAUAAACAAGGUUGGUCAUUCAAAAAAUCGAUAUGAUGAGUUAUGAAUUAAAACUUUAAGUGAUGCCAACGCAUAGUUGGUGGUAAGGAUUUUUUGACAAAACAUCGAUCUUGUAUUUAUUUGCCCCCCACUUGCCUCCUCAGGCCAGACCUGACCCGCUGGCUUUUGUUACAUUCUCUGCUAAAGGAACAGUUCUCAACCUGGAAGAAGUUUGAGAGCCAUCAGGUCUUAGGAAAACAUGGUGUUUUUGCAGCCAUCUGCAAGUCCCAGCAGAAAGGUGAGUGUAAACUUCUUUACACUCAAGUAAUAGCGUUUAUAGGAUAUCUAAGCUGAUGGAACAUGCUAUGUGCUUAGCAAAUUGGUUGCAUUAAAAAUCCACCAGAGAGUUGCUUUAAAUAGAAAAUAAAAAUAUAGAUCGCAGUGCUCAUGUCAGCAAUACAUAUACUAAAAUUAGAACAAUACAGAGAAGGAUUUCCCUGGUGGCCUAAUGGCUAAGAAUCUGGCAUUGUCACUGCUGUGGCACAGAUUCCAUUCCUGGCCUGGUAACUUCUGCCUGCCAGGGGCAUGGCCAAGGGGAAAAAAAAAUAAUAAUAUUAACAAUGCAGAAAGAUUAGCACAACCUCUCCGUUAGGAGAAUACACAAAUUCAAUUUUUUUCCACAGAUGUAUUCUUAUCACCUAUUCAUUAAAUAUAUAUGGCGUUCUGAGUAUCAGUCAUACCCCAUGAAGUGAUUUGAAAAUAUAUAUUAUGCAGCAUAAAGGCUAGAGAUUUAGUUUCAGUAAAUCUAAGGUAGGGAGCCAUGGAAACUUUAUUUUUAAAGCACCUUUAGGUGAUUCUAACAAUAAUCAAGUUUUGGAAUCACUAAAUGACAGCUUAGGCAAAUGUAAGCUUAUAACUGAAGUGAAAGUAAAACAGCCAUAAAGUGUAUCAAGAAGAGGUAGAGAACCCCAGUGAGUGGAGAACUGACCAGGGAUGGAGUGACCAGCAUGGCAUGGAAUUAAGCUGAGCAGUCUCUUAUCUCCUCCGCCUGGAAGGAGUUCUUAGACACAGAUUACUAUGGCAAAGGAAAGAUGUUUCUGAUGAGAUGACUGAUGCAUGAGAAAGCAAAGACAUAGCAUUAAUCUGAAAACCAUGCCUUAAAAUGAGUCUAAAAUCGACUGAUUUGCAGUGAAGAAAAAAUAAAUAAAUAAAUAACCCCAGAAGGGAGCAAAACAAGUUCAAGUGAAUAAGAGAGUUACAGGAAAGCCUUGGCCGUGGCACUCAAGAGCUGUUUUCUGCAGAUUGGGGGAUUAUACCCUGAUGAAAGCAGCCUGAAGAAGAUUAUCCUUAGCAACUGACAUUAUUAACUGCUAAUAGGCUUUCUUUCCCGAUAGGAAAUAUUUCAAGAAAUUGGAAUUUGUCUGGGAUGCCUGCUAAGCGCUAAAGAAGGCAGAGGUUGAAAAAGAUGCUACUCUUUCAAACAGCCCAGAAACAUAAACACUUAAUUCAAAUGAGUUUUUUCUCUCAGCCCAUCCAUUUUCUAGUAAAGGGCCUAAGGUCCUGGAAAUGGUUAUAAUGUAGCACCAAAGGUGAAUCAUGAGUUUUGCAUAAUUGAGGAUAUCUAGUUUUGCAAAAAAUUGACCUUUAGUGUAUAUUUUAUUAGACACUUUAAUAUUCACAGCUUCAAAUAUUCAUAGCUUACCCAGUGUUAUACUCUGUUUUAAAAAAAGGAGUAUAUUUUCAUAUUAACUAUUGCUUUACGCUAAAAGCUCAAAACAUGUUUAAGAUUGUUGUGGCUUCAUAUGAUCUGCAUUUUGAUCAUUUACACCUUCAUCUCUCUCCCUCUGAGAAAUUACAGACGAUACAAUUUCAAUACAGGCUGAAAAUUUUACAAAAUAUUGAUGGCUAAGUUGUUGCAAAGUUAGCCUUUGAAAAAUUUUGAGGGGACCCAUAAAUUAUCUAGAUACACCUUUUGACUUUAUGUUUUCCAGCUUCACAUUUGGCAUUUCUCAUACAUAGAAGCAGCCUACAUUUUUGUAGUUAAUGUUAUUCCAGGGCCUAAUAAGCCAGGUUUGCUGAAACAUCUAAAAAAUUCAGAACGAAUGCAGUUUACCGAGGAAGACUGUCUGAUCUAAUUUGUCACAGAAUUAUUUAUUUCACGUAACCAUCCUCAAGAAAAUAGAAAUAGUUUUUAAUAAUAAGGCUGAUAUUAACAUCUACCAGUUAAACAUUAGGCAAGUAUGAAUUCAUCUCAUUUCAUGCUUACUUAUUGACUAUAUGUAAACAUGCACUUCGGGAUAAAUUAUGGUUUACCCUUAAGAAAUCAGAGACAGACAUUAAAUUAGGCUUGUGAAAAAUAGCAACUCCAAAAUUUACUAAGUGCUACAAUAGGUAGCUAAGUGAACCCAGAUGGGUUCAAUUCUCCCUGGGGCAUUAGAGGACCUACUCAUGUUUUGACACAGUAAGUUAGAUUGUUAACAAGUGUGCCUUGCUAAAAUUUUCCAGUAAAUGAAAACAUCCAGCAUGCAACAAAAUAUACUUUCUUUAGUCUCAGGAUCCACGUGGUGAUCGAACGUCACAGGAGGUAAAUGAGGAGUCUGUGGCAGGUACCCUACCACUUCCUUCCAAAAGACACAGAAGGACAAAUAUUACCUGAUCCCACUUUUACCAGGAACCAAAAGCAUUCAGACUCAGAGGGAGAGGGUUCAAGAUCCUGAACUCACCUCCUCCCAGGAACACAGCAUGGAAUAAUAUGUUCCCAGGAACGCAAUAUGGAAUGAUUCCCUUGGAAAGGGCCCAGAAGACUUUGAGCCGAGUCUCCACAACAAAGGGUAAAGGACAGCAUCCCGAUGGCUGGUGAGAAAUGGUCUCACCGAGGAAAAAACACACCCAGAGAUCCACAAUCAAGAGGGUUCACAAGGUUUGGUAUGUGUUCCCUUUAUCACGAAGGUAAGGUGUCCCUUCCCCGAGGAGUGAGGCAUGAGGGAUUCGAGCUCCCCAUCAGGCCUCCAACCCCUAGACCAGCAAAGGAAAGACAAGCCCCCCUAAAACACAUGGCUUUGAAAACCAAUAGGGAAUAAAUAUGUCCAAGAAUACCAUAAAACUUCAGAGAUCAGAAAAGCCCUCUUAGGGAGUUUCCACUGUGGCUCAGCAGUUAGCAAACCCGACUGGCAUCCAUGAAGAUGUGGGUUUGAUUCCCGGCCUUGCUCAGUGGGUUGAGGAUCCUGCGUUGCCUGUGAGCUGUGGUGUAGGUUGCAGAUGCAGCUGGAAUCCCACUGAGCUGUGGCUCUUGCAUAGGCCGAUGGCUACAGUUCUGAUUGGAUCCCUAGCCUGGGAACCUCCACAUGCUGCAGGUGUGGCCCUAAAGACAAAAGGACCAAAAGAAAAAAGAAAAACCCUCUUUGAAAGAGUUGGUGUGCAACACACACUCCAUCUGAAAAUCAGUGCAAAAACACCAGAUUGAAAAGUACAUGGAGCAUAGAUGAAAGACACCCCCUUGCUAACCUUAAAGCCUCUGACAGAGAGGCAGGAACCAGCUAGGACUGAAACACCAGUGGGAACCAUACUGGCAGUGAUUGGUACCAUCUUGAAAUUCUCCCUCUAACCUGUCAGUGGGUGUGCCAUGCACCUCAGCAAAACCUCACAACCAUCCCCGUGAUGGCCCCACCCACCAGCACACAGCCACCGGUCCAGGGGCCAGCCCUGUCCACCAGUGCCCUGUGGCAGCUGCAGCCCCACUAUAGCAUGAGAGCACCCAGAGCCCACGUAGGGAACAUCCGUGGAGCUCCCGGCUCUGUGGCCAGAUGAGAUUGCAUUUCUGAGUCCCACCGGACAUCUCCCAAGUGGGGCUA
ensembl:lncRNA